rnacentral:lncRNA from 1 species
AAAACUCCCGGUCUCAAUUCACACACCUCACAUUUCAGUCUCCACACACUCAGCUCACUCACCUCUUUUACACUCACCUCUCUUCUCAAACUCCCCUCACUCACCUCUCCGGCACUUUUGACGACAACUGAAUCGGGGUCUCUCUCAAUGGAUUUCACCUUUAUUAGGGCUUUUUUGUUUCGGAUCUUCAGUUGUGGGCUUCGAUUUAAAGCUUCUUAAUUCAUUCACUGAAAUUAGGGCUUGAGAUUUAUAGUUUCUUACAAUUUAUUUAAGAGAUUCGAAUUAUGAGUUUCACUUUAACGUUGUUAAUUUAGUGUCUCUGUUUGUUUCAAGGCUUCAAUCAGAUUGGGCUCCAAUCCAAUCAGGACUUCCAUCAAAUUAGGGCUUUUCACUUUAAUGGGGGCUUCAAAUUGCUUGGAUUGUGAUUUAAGAUACACUCCUCUCUCAUAUAUUUGCUUGUAAGUAUGUAUCUUUGUUCUCUAAAAUCUAUGUUUGAUUUUAAAUAUAUGUGAUUCUGUGUAUAUGAGUUUUGGUUUGUUCUAUGUUGUCUUUGUCUAUCUCUCUCAUUCUCUUCCCCUCCCUCUCCUACUCUGUCUCCCCCUCUCUCUUACACACACAUUUAAUUUACUAUUUUACUUGCUAAUAUACACACACACACUCUACUACUCUGUUUCUCUUGUACAGAUUCUAUUAUGUGUAUUAUGUAUAUUUGUUAUUUUUAUUAUAUUGAUACUAAAAUAAUCUCAAGUGCUUGACAAGCUUGAUCGAUAAUAUGAGCUCUGCCAGACCUCAGUUUCCUACCAAAGAGUACAUGAAAACACAGGUAGAUAUCCAAACUUUUGCACCUAAUUAUAUAUCGUGAGUGAUUUACUGACUUUUUGUUUCUAUAGAUCAAACUAUCUGACCCUAUACACUAAUACACCAGUUAUCACUGGAGAAAUCGGUGCGCGAAAAUCUUCAAACCCGUGCUUCCCUUCACGGGGAGUCAUUUAAUUUCUCCAUUGGUAAAAUGCAUCCUGCAACUUUUGCUCAUCAUAUUUACUAUCUUUCAGGAAAGACUUUAUGUUAUUCUAAAAUAGGGAGAACAGUCAAACAACUGUUAUUGGUUGUCCUGGCGAACCAAUCUAGACAGGUGAGGUUUCUUGUCAUAUAGCCUUCAUCCACUGUUAACUUGAUAAGGUUUUAGUUGUCAAGUUUGAGUUAUAAUAUUACAUCUAAGAAAACCUUACUCAAGCAGGACUUUUCUAUGCUGAUUAUAAACCCUGAAAAACAAAAGAUGUAAUAUACAAGCUAAUGACUCCCCUGGCUUUGUAGAUUUGAGUAUAGGAACCUCGUAGGUUAACUUCUAUUUUGUACAUGUGAAGAAAAUGGUUUUUUAAAUCAGCGUGAUGUGUAGUUUAGUGACCUUAGAAUAGUUUAAUAUAUUUAGGUCUCAUAUAUUAAUUCAGUUGGCUUGGCAUCUGUCAGAAACAUUAAGAUGGGUUUGGCUAAGAAUUUGGUUAUUAGAAUGAAUGAGCAUAUAUUUAUAUACUAGAACUCCGUAUUCUGUCUGAAAUCAAAGUGCUUCCAGUUGGCCAUAUUACUCCCCCUACAAUAAUAAAACUGUAGCCUGUCAAUAUUAUUGAAUCUUUAUAUAUGUGAACUAAUGAACUAAAAAAUAGAGAUUAGUGGUAAAGAAUAGAGAUUAGUGGUAAUGGGAUAUGCUUUCUUCUGGCACUUAAGCAUCAUUGUAGAAAAUACUUAUCAUUCAUAAAAGGGUCAAAGUGUGAUUAUAUGAUAUAAACUUUAUUCAGUUCUGUGUAGAUAGCUUUCUCACAAAUUUUGGUGUAGGGGUAUAUAUACUAUAUUCUAUAUACUCUGAAGUUUAUAUGUUUAACUUUAUCGAACUGAGCUUAACUUUAUAUGUUUGUACUAGGCUACAACACCAAAUUUGGAACAGAAGCUUGAAAAAUUAGCUCCUGCAGAUGCUGUUGCUGGUUUGAUUGCUCCCUAUUUUGUGGAAAGGUUAGAGUCUACUUUUAAAUAUAAUAAAAUCAUUUACAGGGAUAUACACAAUCUUUAGGAAAGUGUAAUAAUUUUCCAGUUUGAAGCUUUCGGCCUGCGGUUUGAUAGAGAGCUGUUUGCUUUCAAAUUACUCCUUUUAAAAUGACACAUGGAGUGAUGUUUUAAUUGUACUAGAAGUGUAUCAAGGUAGCUUCUUGUGUUGUGUCUUGGUGUCCUUUUUGUAAUUGAUGAAUAGCUAAGAGGACACCAUUGUGAUUAAAUACCAAUAAAAAUGGACUAAUCUGUCUACCACUAUACAGGUUUGUAGGAUUACAUCAGUUGAAUUUAAUGGAAUAAAAGAUUUCCCCAAAAUAUGAAAUUUGUCAGAACUUAAAAUGAUGGAAGAGGAAUAGUAGUUUCAUGUGAGACAUGCAAAUCAAGUCAUAGAUCUAUUUAACUAGCUACAACUAUUACAAUUAUAUUAUAGUAUAGUGAUUUGGUUUGAUUUGAACCUCUGCAGUUAGUUAAUAGAAGUGUUUCAGCCUAUAUACCAAUAUUAAUGAUGGACAAAGUUUUUACCCUGUUUAGUUAAUUUCAUUAUCUACUGCAAAUUUAUUGUGUUAUCUGUUUACUGUCCAACUAAAUCCACAUAAUUUGAGUUGUUCAAAAUAAGCAUGGCUUAUUUACCGGAACUCAGCUUAGUAGUUGCAUUGUAUUGUUUCAGGGAAAGCCUAAGCCGUUAAUGGAUCAACCUAACAGAGUCAAAGACUUGACUGUUCCAGAAUUUGGAACUCUCCAAGCUUGGGAAGUGCGAGCAAAAUGCAAGAAUAUGUUUAUUUAUAUAAUAGUGUAGUGUACUGUGAUGUUUGGUUGGAUUUGUUUAAUACUUUGAUUUGGUUGGAUUUGUUAGGUAGUUUGGUUUGGUUGGAUUUGUUAUAAACUUUGAUUUGUAUGAAAGAAUAGUUUAAUGUUGCAGUUGAUAUAGUAAAAUAUUGCAAAAUUGUUAUUUGAUGUUGC